AAGUCGUAACAAGGUCUCCGUUGGUGAACCAGCGGAGGGAUCAUUACUGAGUACUACACUCUCUACCCUUUGUGAACUAUUAUACCUGUUGCUUCGGCGGCGCCCGCAAGGGUGCCCGCCAGUCUCAUCAGAAUCUCUGUUUUCGAACCCGACGAUACUUCUGAGUGUUCUUAGCGAACUGUCAAAACUUUUAACAACGGAUCUCUUGGCUCCAGCAUCGAUGAAGAACGCAGCGAAACGCGAUAUGUAAUGUGAACUGCAGAAUUCAGUGAAUCAUCGAAUCUUUGAACGCACAUGGCGCCUUCCAGUAUCCUGGGAGGCAUGCCUGUCCGAGCGUCGUUUCAACCCUCGAGCCCCUGUGGCCCGGCGUUGGGGAUCUGCCACGGCAGGCCCCUAAAACCAGUGGCGGACCCGAAGGGCCCUCUCCUUUGCGCAGUAGCAUUCGCCUCGCAUCGGGAGUCCUCGGCGUCCUGCCUCUAAACCCCCCACAAGCCCGCUUCGGCGGCACCAAGGUUGACCUCGGAUCAGGUAGGAAUACCCGCUGAACUUAA
rnacentral:rRNA from 1 species